GUACGAAAGAAAAAGAAAAACGCAGCCACGCUCUGCCUCGCGGCGCUCCGCCCCGCCCAACCCACCUCCAGCCACGCCCCGCGCGCCGCCGGCCGACUCCUGCCUCCCAAUCCCUUGUCCUCCCCACCCGGGGCUUUCUUCGCCGUUCAUAGCUCCCCUCCACUGACUGGUCGCGACCUCGCUGGAGGCACAGGAUGGGAGGGUGCGGCGCUGGCAUCCGGCUCACAGAGAUCGAGCGGACCGAUCUGCGCGCCGGCGACCUCGCGGGAGGCAGAGGAUGGGAUGGCGUGCUGCGCUCAAGACGAGCGGGCUCGAGUAAGGGUAUCGGAGGUUGGCGCCGGCGGGCUCGUGGACGGGGAUGGAGAGGGCAGGUGCCAAUCCGCCGUGACAAGAAAGCUGCUGCGGCGCCGACCGGCCAGCUCCAUCUCCACGAUUCCAUGGACGGCGGUGGCGUCGUCGCGGGGGCGGCCUGCCGGGAGAGCGAGUGGCUGCGCGCGUAGGCCGUGGCGAUGAUGCCACGGAUGGAGGCGCUCGCCGCCGGCCGCGCGCGGCUGGAGGCCGUCAACGCGCUGCAGCACGAGUCCUGGCCCCUAGGAGGCCCGCGACGUUCGCCUCCAGUGGGGCCUCCUCAAGGUGACCCCUCCGCUCCAUCCACUCCCUCCUUUUUAUCUUAGGGUUUCGAUCGGCUCCUCACUGAUGCUAUUGACUAGCGUGUGCUCGAGGAGAUGUCAGGCGGAUGAGAACUGGAGGAUGUGGGAGGCAACGUGCAUGGCCCUACUGCGCUCCGACGAUGACCGGAUGUUCCUCGGUUGCUACGGACUGCUACCCUUGUCUGCUGCACUGAAUGUAGAACCCCUAAUUCCCUAAAGAGUGAAAAUGAGGAUCUAAAGAUUUUAUACAAGUGUUGGAGCUGGAAAACGAGGAGCUUAAGAUAACAGCCAACGACCCGGGGAGGAGGAGGACGCACGGCAGCGUCAGAAUCAGCGCGUCGUAUCCGGCCGAGGCUUAUGUCGACACGGACGCCGAGGCUCUGGCCGCAGCCGCCGCGCUCUAUGCCCCGCCCCUGCUCGCCGAGCCCUGCCUCUUCGGAUCUCCAGCCAUGGAGGUCGCUUCUGGCAUGUUCCGCAAGUUCAAAACAAAGAACAUCUCUAUUUGCACAGCCCUUCAGGGGAACAAAUGGAUUUCUGCACUCCGUCAGGUCAACACCACUGAGUUAGUUCAUGAAUUUAUCAAAUAAUGGUUGUUGAUUAGAGAGAUGCAAAUACCACAUGCCAAGAUGUCGUCUCCUGGUGUUGGACAGCAGAUGGAAUGUAUAUGACGCACUCAACCUACAAGGCAAUGUUCUGGGGCUCUUACUCGAGCACUUGCUCUCAAACUUUCUGGAAGGCUUUGGCUGAAAACAAAGUAAAAAAAUUCUGUUGACACCUGUCGCUUGGGAGGAUUCUGACCGUGGACAAGCUGAUCCAGAGAGGAUGGCAAGGAAGCGAGAUUUGUUCGAUGUGCAGUUCGCGGGAGGAGUCAGUGGAGCAUCUUCUUCUGAACUUCUAUUUUGCUCGCCAAUUUUGGAGGAGGAUCGCGGCUUGGUCUUGUUUCGAUUUGAGACAUUAUGACGUGAAGAUGGCCUCCGGGAGGGCACGGUUUACUCUUGGUGGCUGGAGCGAGCCUGCCAAAUCCUUACGACCAACUAGCGAAAGUUUGAUGGGACUGUUGCUUACACUUUUUGGCAGAUUUGAAAAGAUAGGAAUGAGAGAGUUUUUGACAAUGCUUAUGCUGGUGUCGAGGACACUUUCUUUGGAAUUUAGGAGUCCAUCCUAACGAGAGAGUUGGCAUUUGCCACAGUGAUACUGUAUGAUGGAGGCUAAGGCCAUCAUAUCGAAUUGUAACCAGGUUUCAGCCUAAACUUGUGUUUUUCUUCU